UACGGGGGUGCGAGCGUUGUCCGGAAUCACUGGGCGUAAAGGGCGCGUAGGUGGUUUGAUAAGGGUGUGGUGAAAGUCCGGAGCUCAACUCCGGAUCUGCCGUGCCGACUGUCAAACUCGAGGGCUGUAGAGGCAGACGGAAUUCCGGGUGUAGCGGUGGAAUGCGUAGAGAUCCGGAGGAAGACCGGUGGCGAAGGCGGUCUGCUGGGCAGUUUCUGACACUGAGGCGCGACAGCGUGGGGAGCAAACAGGG
rnacentral:rRNA from 1 species